rnacentral:rRNA from 1 species
GAUGAACGCUGGCGGCGUGCUUAACACAUGCAAGUCGAACGAUGAAGCCCAGCUUGCUGGGUGGAUUAGUGGCGAACGGGUGAGUAACACGUGAGUAACCUGCCCUUAACUCUGGGAUAAGCCUGGGAAACUGGGUCUAAUACCGGAUAGGAGCGUCCACCGCAUGGUGGGUGUUGGAAAGAUUUAUCGGUUUUGGAUGGACUCGCGGCCUAUCAGCUUGUUGGUGAGGUAAUGGCUCACCAAGGCGACGACGGGUAGCCGGCCUGAGAGGGUGACCGGCCACACUGGGGCUGAGACACGGCCCAGACUCCUACGGGAGGCAGCAGUGGGGAAUAUUGCACAAUGGGCGCAAGCCUGAUGCAGCGACGCCGCGUGAGGGAUGACGGCCUUCGGGUUGUAAACCUCUUUCAGUAGGGAAGAAGCGAAAGUGACGGUACCUGCAGAAGAAGCACCGGCUAACUACGUGCCAGCAGCCGCGGUAAUACGUAGGGUGCGAGCGUUAUCCGGAAUUAUUGGGCGUAAAGAGCUCGUAGGGCGGUUUGUCGCGUCUGUCGUGAAAGUCCGGGGCUUAACCCCGGAUCUGCGGUGGGUACGGGCAGACUAGAGUGCAGUAGGGGAGACUGGAAUUCCUGGUGUAGCGGUGGAAUGCGCAAAUAUCAGGAGGAACACCGAUGGCGAAGGCAGGUCUCUGGGCUGUAACUGACGCUGAGGAGCGAAAGCAUGGGGAGCGAACAGGAUUAGAUACCCUGGUAGUCCAUGCCGUAAACGUUGGGCACUAGGUGUGGGGACCAUUCCACGGUUUCCGCGCCGCAGCUAACGCAUUAAGUGCCCCGCCUGGGGAGUACGGCCGCAAGGCUAAAACUCAAAGGAAUUGACGGGGGCCCGCACAAGCGGCGGAGCAUGCGGAUUAAUUCGAUGCAACGCGAAGAACCUUACCAAGGCUUGACAUGUUCUCGAUCGCCGUAGAGAUACGGUUUCCCCUUUGGGGCGGGUUCACAGGUGGUGCAUGGUUGUCGUCAGCUCGUGUCGUGAGAUGUUGGGUUAAGUCCCGCAACGAGCGCAACCCUCGUUCCAUGUUGCCAGCACGUAAUGGUGGGGACUCAUGGGAGACUGCCGGGGUCAACUCGGAGGAAGGUGAGGACGACGUCAAAUCAUCAUGCCCCUUAUGUCUUGGGCUUCACGCAUGCUACAAUGGCCGGUACAAUGGGUUGCGAUACUGUGAGGUGGAGCUAAUCCCAAAAAGCCGGUCUCAGUUCGGAUUGGGGUCUGCAACUCGACCCCAUGAAGUCGGAGUCGCUAGUAAUCGCAGAUCAGCAACGCUGCGGUGAAUACGUUCCCGGGCCU